CCUACGUGUGGCUGCAGUGAGGAAUAUUUGUCAAUGGGCGCGAGCCUGAACCAGCCAAGUAGCGUGAAGGAUGACUGCCCUACGGGUUGUAAACUUCUUUUAUAAAGGAAUAAAGUGAGGCACGUUUGCCUUUUUGUAUGUACUUUAUGAAUAAGGAUCGGCUAACUCCGUGCCAGCAGCCGCUGUAAUACGGAGGAUCCGAGUGUUAUCCGGAUAUUAUGGGUUUAAAGGGGGCGUAGAUGGGUUGUUAAGUCAGUUGUGAAAGUUUGCGGCUCAACCGUAAAAUUGCAAUUGAUACUGGCAGUCUUGAGUACAGUUGAGGUAAGCGGAAUUCGUGGUGUAGCAGUGAAAUGCUUAGAUAUCACGAAGAACUCCGAUUGCGAAGGCAGCUUACUAAAAUGCCACUGACAUUGAGGCUCGAAAGUGUGGGUAUCAAACAGGAUUAGAUACCCUAGUAGUC
rnacentral:rRNA from 1 species